UCUCAGUGGCAGCAAUGAGGGAGACACCUCACCUCUGCUCCCUCCGUCCUGUAGCUGUGCAGGAUGCAGUGCAGUAUUCCUCUGUACUUCCUCUGCAGCUGAGCGUCCGCCUGCAUCCUGCUCUUCACCACGUCGGCCGGCGUCGCCGUCACCCAGGAGAUGGAACCUGAACACACACGGACGUCACACGGCUGAACAGUCUGGCGCAGGAAUGUUUUGCCCUCGCAGGGGCAUCAUGGAGGUAGCCUGACCACAAGAAAGUCCUGGGGUUGAAUCCAGCUACAGCACGUCCUCCUGGGAACUCUUGUUCCCUCCCGCACACCAAGUCAUACAUGGAUCGCAGGAGAGCUCCGGCAUCACUGUUCCACUUUGCUCUCGGCUUUACCUCGGAGUCCCUGUGAACUUCCUCACCCUGGAUUUCGGCUCUCACUUGCUCUUGUAUAGCAGAGUUAAUGGGGAUCAGAAGACCACGAUUCCUCCUCCACCGCCUCCCAAGCUCUCCUCCAAACUUCCAGAACUACUUCAGAAAAAGAGGAAUUACCCCGACAAUUGAGACAGUCUGGGCACCGGACCUGCCGGCCAGACCCAAUCUCCUCCCGGCGGCCCUAACUGAUGUUCUGCUCUUUGAUUGAAAGUCUGAUGAGAGAUGAAGUGGAGCGGCUGAGACUCACACAAGCAGGAAUCUGAAAGAAGAUUGUUGUUGGUGAAACGUGGACGUGCACAGGGAAGAUGGAUCGCUGUCGGCAGAGUGGCGGGAAGCCUCAUGACAGCAGAUGGCAUUGGAGGUCGAACACAGGUAGAGGAAUCUCCCACGUAUGUGGAGGAGAAUUAAUGCAGGAAGAACAAGCUCUUCUUCCCAGAUACGACGUGUCCCACCGUUGUGUUUCCAUUAUUCAAACGCGGCUGUUGCAGGGAUGAAAGGUGAAGGUUUAUGAAGACAGAUAGACUUUUAAAGGAGACCUCCUCAUCCAUCCAGACGCUGGGCUGCCUCCUGGAACUUGAGGUUGUGGCUUCACUUUUAGUGGCCUGUUUAUGUUGUGAACGUUACACAUAGAUCUCGAUGGAGCCUUCUGUCUGUGCUCUGCCUUCAUUUCCUUCGUAUUUCCGCACAUUUCAAAAGCUUACGGAUAUGGUCCAAACGCAGUAGUACCACCUGAAACCGUGGGGGGCAGUGUUGCUGUUACUACCCGAUACAUAGCUCUAAGGAGAUUCAAAGAAGACAUAACAAUGGUGGAAACUCUCCGUCCUCCAGUGGCGAUAUAUUUACUGGCCUCACCAACCACCGCCUCCGACAACGCUGCCUCUGUUUUCCUCCUUUGUGCAGGAGCUACAUCUACAGUAGCUGUUUCUUUGGGCACCAUAUUGUUGCAUCAAAAAUCAUUCUGUGAAAUAAAUACAUGAAACACAAUGUUAAACAAGACAGAUAAAAAAAUGUUCAAACUUAGACGGUGGAAACAAAUGACUGUGAUGAAAGUUAUUUACCGGAAAGAAACAUGAGCAUAAAAGGUACUUUGAAGGUCAUAAAAAAGGGAGGAUGGAAUGUCAAAGUUUUGGGCUCUUUGAACUUUGGUGGUUAGGGUCAGUCACAAAAGUAGCUGCAAGCUUGACCUAUAAAUGUCAUGGUAAAGAGUCAAGACACACACACAUAUCUGUAGGUAAAAAUGAAUAAAUCAAUAAAUAAACAGUCAAAGUUAAAAGAGGAUAGAAUACAGUCCAUAAAUAAACUAACGCAAUAACAAUGAAUACAAAAGACAGAAAAGCUCUGCCACCUGGAACUGAAUAUUAAGCACACAAAUUAAAAGAAUUAAAAAAAAAGAGCAAUCGCUCUUUCAUUUCUUAAAAUGAUCAUGUUUUGACCCUCUAAAAGAUGAAUGAUUUGAACCUGACUGGAAGCAAGAAAGUGAAACCAUGGAAGUCAGACUAGACUGACUCCUGGAGUCGUGUUUCCAGGUCCAUGAGCAGGAACAAGUGACCUGAGCUUGAUGGCUUCAGGAUUCACUCACUUCAGCUCAUUCUUUACGUAACGUCAGCGAGAGCGUUCGUCUUUAGCUCUGCAUCGCUAUAGCAAACAUGCUCAUUACCGCGUCUGGCUGCCUCCAGUACGAAGCAAGUCAAAAUGUAGUGAAGCCCCCGGCUAGGAAGACGCAGCGCCGUGGUCGUCGAUGCUGAAAGUAGCUGAGCCUCAGGUUUUGUCCUCCUUUUUGGAAUGUAGUCCACAGCGACUUUAUCGCUACACCGGAACCCACCACAGCCGACGGUCCGUCUCUCCUCAACCCUUCUCUACAGUCUGGGACCCAGGUCUUGAACUGAGAGUUGAGCUGAACUCACUAUCGGGACGUUGCUCCUCCAGAGUGGAGUCCAAGUGACUCCAACUGAGCUGUGAAAGCCAGGGUGGCAUGGUGAGGUCACGGUGAGAGGAACGUGCCUAAACAUUGUCCUCCACCACUGUUCCGUCAAGACCAACAACAGGAAGUUGAAAUGCAACCAGCUCUUCAUGCCUUCAGGGAACAACUAGGUGACCUCCGACUUUGACCUGGACUCCACCACUGCCUCCUCUAUAAUCGAGCAGCAGAGUUACUCUGCGCCUCUGACAGAGUGAGCUGAGGCGCUGAUGGAGAUUUUGAUCGGAGGUGGACGGACGGAUGCCGGCAGCAGGCUUGACGGAUGGAUUCCUCGCCUCCAGGGGAAAUUGGAUGAAGAGAAAAUUCACCUCACGCUGAGACCCCGCUGACCCCUCUGUGUGUUUGUGAGUCUGUCUCACGCUUUGGUCAGCAGAAGGUUCUCCAGGUGACCCCUUCAAGCUUGUGUGGGUUUCCUCCGUAGCUCCUGUUUCCUGCCUCGGUCCAAAAACUCCUGUCCUGGGUGUCAACCCUGAGCUGCUGCUCCCUUCUCCCGCACCAGAGGAGAAGCACGAGGUUUGGUGGAACAUGAAUCCUGACUCACUGGUUCCUGGAGGGUCUGUGACGACGCCUUAUUUAGAACGUGUUACAUAAUUAGUCGAUUAACAAAGAGCUGAGUCGUCCUGGUUGUUCCACCUGACUCAUCCACAGAGACUGCGGCGGGUGGGAAUGUGACCUUAGAUGUCAUCCUCCUAAGUGGGAACACACAUAUUCUGCAUCUGCCGGCAGCUUUCAUGAGGCAACGAGAGCAGCACUAAAAGCUCCUGUCGGAAUUAUGAUCCAUCACUGCAAUCAGAAAGAGCUUAAGCAGACGCUUCUACUGGCUGAAAACAAGAGGAAUCCAACAAGUCACCUGAAAUGAUGCUUUUCAGGCGGAGAGAGGACGCUGUUUCAGACUAGAACCAGGGUUGAGAGGUGACUGCUGGGUCAUAGAGUAUUUUUCUAAAUAAGAAAAGAUAAAGAAAUAAAAACAAUCUAUUUUUUCAUGAGAAGAAAAGAUCAAGAAAUUUAAAAAUCAUUUUUUUUAAUAAAGAAAAGACAAAGUAAUAAAAAAUAAAGUUGUAUAUUUCUGAAAAGAAAAUAUAAAGAAAUAAAAAUAAAACAUUUUUUUCCUAAAAAACAAAA